rnacentral:rRNA from 1 species
UACGUAGGUGGCAAGCGUUGUCCGGAUUUACUGGGCGUAAAGAGCGCGCAGGCGGUCGUUCAAGUCGCGUGUGAAAGCCCCCGGCUCAACUGGGGAGGGUCACGCGAUACUGAUCGACUCGAAGGCAGGAGAGGGUAGUGGAAUUCCCGGUGUAGUGGUGAAAUGCGUAGAUAUCGGGAGGAACACCAGUGGCGAAGGCGGCUCUCUGGGACGGUACUGACGCUGAGACGCGAAAGCGUGGGGAGCAAACGGG